rnacentral:rRNA from 1 species
CGGGACGGGUGAGUAACGCGUGGAAAACCUGCCGUAUACUGGGGGAUAACACUUAGAAAUAGGUGCUAAUACCGCAUAAGCGCACAGCUUCGCAUGAAGCGGUGUGAAAAACUCUGGUGGUAUACGAUGGUUCCGCGUCUGAUUAGCUAGUUGGUGGGGUAAUGGCCUACCAAGGCAACGAUCAGUAGCCGGCCUGAGAGGGUGAACGGCCACAUUGGGACUGAGACACGGCCCAGACUCCUACGGAAGGCAGCAG